GUGGGGAAUAUUGGACAAUGGGCGAAAGCCUGAUCCAGCCAUGCCGCGUGUGUGAAGAAGGUCUUCGGAUUGUAAAGCACUUUAAGUUGGGAGGAAGGGCAGUAAGUUAAUACCUUGCUGUUUUGACGUUACCGACAGAAUAAGCACCGGCUAACUUCGUGCCAGCAGCCGCGGUAAUACGAAGGGUGCAAGCGUUAAUCGGAAUUACUGGGCGUAAAGCGCGCGUAGGUGGUUUUGUAAGUUGGAGGUGAAAUCCCCGGGCUCAACCUGGGAACUGCAUCCAAAACUGCAUGACUAGAGUACGGUAGAGGGUAGUGGAAUUUCCUGUGUAGCGGUGAAAUGCGUAGAUAUAGGAAGGAACACCAGUGGCGAAGGCGACUACCUGGACUGAUACUGACACUGAGGUGCGAAAGCGUGGGGAGCAAACAGUAUUAGAUACCCGAGUAGUCC
rnacentral:rRNA from 1 species